GUUGUUGUAUAUGUAGAAAGGCACGUGUACAAUUAAUGAGGCACAAUUAAUUUUAUAGUACAAUUUGAAAUGCUUUGUGUACAACAUGGUAGUGCCGUGUUCGUGCUUUAAAGUGUCAACUCUAAUAAGGAGCAAAAUGAAUAAUAAUAAUUAUUAUAAUAAGGAGUAAUGAGUAAUAAUAAUAAUUGCAAUGUUAGUCCUUCUAAGUAAUGAGUAAUAAUAAUAAUUGCAAUGUUAGUCCUUCUAAGUAAUGAGUAAUAAUAAUAAUUGCAAUGUUAGUCCUUCUAAGUAAUGAGUAAUAAUAAUAAUUGCAAUGUUAGUCCUUCUAAGUAAUGAGUAAUAAUAAUAAUUGCAAUGUUAGUCCUUCUAAGUAAUGAGUAAUAAUAAUAAUUGCAAUGUUAGUCCUUCUAAGUAAUGAGUAAUAAUAAUAAUUGCAAUGUUAGUCCUUCUAAGUAAUGAGUAAUAAUAAUAAUUGCAAUGUUAGUCCUUCUAAGUAAUGAGUAAUAAUAAUAAUUGCAAUGUUAGUCCUUCUAAGUAAUGAGUAAUAAUAAUAAUUGCAAUGUUAGUCCUUCUAAGUAAUGAGUAAUAAUAAUAAUUGCAAUGUUAGUCCUUGGUGUUAGUCAUUCUAUUAAUGUACAAUUCUUUUUGCACGUUGUACAACUAAUUAAUGCAGUCAAAAGUUAAUGUACAAAAUUGUAUGCAUGUUGUACAAGAGUAUUAAUACAGUGUUAGUC
rnacentral:lncRNA from 1 species